GAUGAACGCUAGCGGCAGGCCUAAUACAUGCAAGUCGAGGGGCAGCGCGGUAGCAAUACUGGCGGCGACCGGCGCACGGGUGCGUAACACGUAUGCAACCUACCUUCAACUGGAGGAUAGCCCGGGGAAACUCGGAUUAAUACUCCAUAACACAGGGAUCCCGCAUGGGAAUAUUGUUAAAGCUACGGCGGUUGAAGAUGGGCAUGCGUUCGAUUAGCUAGUUGGUGUAGGUAACGGCUCACCAAGGCUACGAUCGAUAGGGGGUCUGAGAGGAUGAUCCCCCACACUGGUACUGAGAUACGGACCAGACUCCUACGGGAGGCAGCAGUAGGGAAUAUUGGUCAAAUGGGGCGCAAGCCUGAACCAGCCAUGCCGCGUGCAGGAAGAAGGCCCUCUGGGUUGUAAACUGCUUUUGAUAGGGAACAAAUGCCACUUGCGAGUGGAGCUGAGUGUACCUAUAGAAUAAGCACCGGCUAAACUCCGUGCCAGCAGCCGCGGUAAUCG
rnacentral:rRNA from 1 species